UACGUAGGGUGCAAGCGUUGUCCGGAAUUAUUGGGCGUAAAGAGCUCGUAGGCGGUCUGUCGCGUCGGCUGUGAAAACCUGGGGCUUAACUCCGGGCCUGCAGCCGAUACGGGCAGGCUAGAGUGUGGUAGGGGAGACUGGAAUUCCUGGUGUAGCGGUGAAAUGCGCAGAUAUCAGGAGGAACACCGAUGGCGAAGGCAGGUCUCUGGGCCACUACUGACGCUGAGAAGCGAAAGCAUGGGGAGCGAACAGG
rnacentral:rRNA from 1 species